rnacentral:tRNA from 1 species
GGACGUGUGCCCGAAUACUAAGGGCUACUUUGAUAAAGUAGACAACAGAGGUUAAAAUCCUCUCACCUCCU